rnacentral:rRNA from 1 species
GGGGAUGACGUCAAAUCAUCAUGCCCCUUAUGACCUGGGCUACACACGUGCUACAAUGGACAGAACAAAGGGCAGCGAAACCGCGAGGUUAAGCCAAUCCCACAAAUCUGUUCUCAGUUCGGAUCGCAGUCUGCAACUCGACUGCGUGAAGCUGGAAUCGCUAGUAAUCGCGGAUCAGCAUGCCGCGGUGAAUACGUUCCCGGGCCUUGUACACACCGCCCGUCACACCACGAGAGUUUGUAACACCCGAAGUCGGUGAGGUAACCUUUUAGGAGCCAGCCGCCGAAGGUGGGACAGAUGAUUGGGGUGAAGUCGUAACAAGGUAGCCGUAUCGGAAGGUGCGGUUGGAUCACCU